rnacentral:lncRNA from 1 species
CGCGGCUAGCGGCGGCGAGUGCUGGAAGGAGACGAGCGCGCAGGCCCCGAGAGCCAAAGACAAGGCAAUAAACUUAUCACGGGCUGCUGGUCAAACUGGAUGGGGAGAAGUGAAGCAAGGGAUUAAGAAAAUCAGUCUACGGUCAAGUUUUCUGCUUGUAUAGCUCAAGUGAGAAUAGUAAGCAUCCUUUCUAUCUUCUUCUAAGAGCAUUGUUAAAAGUGAUAACCGCGUCCA